rnacentral:tRNA from 1 species
GGCUCUGUAGUGAAGUUCAUGUUGAGUUGCAAGCUCAUCGAUGUGUACUAGUGGUGCACCGGAGUCU